GCCUGGCUGGCUCAUUGAGAAGAGCAUGAAACUCUUAAUCUCAGGGUCAUGAGUUCAAGCCCUAUGUUGGGUG
rnacentral:tRNA from 1 species